GCCGGUGUAGCUCAGUUGGUAGAGCAUCUGAUUUGUAAUCAGAGGGUCGUAGGUUCAAGUCCUAUCUCCGGCUCCA
rnacentral:tRNA from 5 species